UUUCAACAGUUUUCCUUUCUAAUGAAAUCAUAUUAAAAUACUUUGUUUCAGCCAUCAACGGAUAUAAAAAUCAUCGAGUUUAGACUUAUCAUAAUCCUCUCGUGUGGUCUUCGAGUAUAAUAAUCAAUACUCUUAUAAAUACUUACUGCUGAAGAUUACUAUACGCUAAUCACAGCGAAUUCGAGGCAGACGAUCGGUCAGACAGAAUCAGAGUGGGCCAGAACGUCGAACGAGCGGAGUCGUCGGCUCGUCACCUCGUCAGGAG
rnacentral:misc_RNA from 1 species